GGUGAGAUGGCCGAGCGGUCUAAGGCGCCAGACUAAGGAUAUUGUUCGCAAUCUGGUCCGAAAGGGCGUGGGUUCGAAUCCCACUCUCAUCA
rnacentral:tRNA from 1 species